rnacentral:misc_RNA from 1 species
AUUGAGAUCCUUUUCUCGAUCAACUAAAUGCUGAUUCUGCUGUGCUUGCAGUAUCAACUCUAGCUCACUCUGCAAACUAUCUUCUAAAUUACCAUUGGGCCCUUGCAGAUGAUCAUCUAGGCUCAGUCGCAUAUCUAUGUUGCUCCCAGUGACCAUCUUUGAAACUGCAAUUCGCUCCUUCUACACCAAUCUCCACAUCAA